UACGUAGGGUGCAAGCGUUAAUCGGAAUUACUGGGCGUAAAGCGUGCGCAGGCGGUUAUAUAAGACAGUUGUGAAAUCCCCGGGCUCAACCUGGGAACUGCAUCUGUGACUGUAUAGCUAGAGUACGGUAGAGGGGGAUGGAAUUCCACGUGUAGCGGUGAAAUGCGUAGAGAUGUGGAGGAACACCGAUGGCGAAGGCAGCCUUCUGGGCCAACACUGACGCUCAUGCACGAAAGCGUGGGGAGCAAACAGG
rnacentral:rRNA from 1 species